CUUGUGUGUCAGUAAGAACAAAAACUAAUUAUCUAAGGUCCUGUUAUUAUUACCUAUAUAUGACAUUGCUACUGGAUUGCCUAGUGCCCCUGUUCAUGGUGGGCUAAACUUGUAUUUGCUCCUGCUGCUGCGUUUUGAUGAUCAUGAGUGUGAUGCAUUUUGAUGAUCUCCUUGUACCAGAUGAGUCCGUCGAUGAAGCGGCAACAUCUCCUCUAGAGGGUGACGGUGGUGGCGGCGCCUGUGUGCGGCUUCGACUACAACCUCCUCUCCGGAGCUCCAGGCCUAAGAAAGUUGGAAGUGCGAAGACGUGAAGAAAAGCGUGAAGCCAUGAAGUGCUACUCAGCAAAGAGUUGUCUGUUCUAUUUGACUGUAAUAUUGUAAUAGCUGGUAUACCUAGGUUGUAAUAGUCUACAGAAAUUGUAGUACACUAAUCUAGUGUCAUUUGACGAGUUUCACAUGUUCUCUUGUUUGGAAUAUUUGAUUAUGAAUGUGAUUUGAUUGUGUGUGAGAUGGGAA